CCGGCCGAGGAGCCGCAGUCCGGACGCCUCUUCGGCCGCAGCGCGGCGCCUUCUCCGCGUAGCAUCAGGCCGCGGAGGCCCUGCGGAGCGACCUGGGGGCGCGCGCGCCCGCGAGGUUGACGCUGCCCGGUGGGCCCGGGCAGGAGGGGGGCGGAGUCCGUGGGUCGGGAAGCUCUGAGAACAGGAACGACUUCGGCUGAUCAGCGGGGACAAGUGCAAAACACGUACGAGCGCUGCCGGGGGGUGCUGGAGGUUCCUCCGAAAGUCGCGCUCGGAUUGCCUGGUGGCCCGGCAGUUCGGCCCUGCGUGCGCACCGCGGAGGGGCGGACGGGACUCCCCCGCCGCCCCGUGAAGCGCUGGGCACAAUGGCCAAGGUGGAAACGGCCCAACUGCCCCUGGGGGUGAAUGCAUGGACAACGUGGUCUGUCCAGACAGCGGACUGUGAUUCAGUCUCGGAAAGGAAUGUACCACCCGCUGAUCCGUGCUACGACAUGGUCGACCUCCAAAACACUUUGCGAAGUGAAAUAAACCGGUCACACGAGGACAACUAUUGUACAAUUCCACUUACGUGGAAUAUCUGUGGGAAGGAGGCAUGGAGGGUCACAACUUCGUGGGUACAGGGCUUCUGUUUGGAAUGACGCAAAAGUUCCAGAAAGAAAUGAUGGCUGCCCGGUACUUGAAACGGACAGGAUGUGUUUGCCACAGGCCUGUGCAAUAGCAAACAUUAAAGAAAAUUCUUUAGCCUGAAGGGAAAUGAUACUACGUGGAAAUCAUCUAUGUGAAGAAAGAGAACUAAAAUGGGAAAUUUGUUUAA